AAAAAAAAAAAAAAAAAAAAAAAAAAAAAAAAAAAACGCUCGUUUCUAGAUAUAUCUCGUUCGCGUUUGCUCGAUCCAGGAAUUCCUUUGAAAUUCCUCCGAUCGGUUUGCUCCCUCCUAUUAUAGAAUCGAUGGAAAUGCAGAAAGGACACUUAAAGACUCAAAAGUGUACGGUAAAUAGGGACAGGGUAAAUCCUAUAUGUACAGGAUAAAGGAGUUAAACGUAACGGAGAAAUUUUAUUUAAACGAUUCCUAUAUACAAAUUAGUUGUAUAGAUCGAGAAGUAAAUCCGUCCCGACGCGCAGUCUCUUUCGUUUAACGUUACAGAGAUAUCGCAACCGUGUCUUCUAGGAGUCACCAAGGGAGCUCAUUUAUGGCGACACGUUUUUCUUGUUGGCCCACAGCGAGCUCCCUCCGUCCCCCAUCCGCGGUUUAAGGUCGCGAGACACAGACGAGACGUCCGCGGCGAGAUAUCCGAAGUAGGUAUCCCUAGACGCGACACGAAUGGUCCAAAUAACCCUGGGCUUUUUCGCAACCCCGAACGUUUGGGAGACAGCCACCGCGUCGGUCGUGUGUGUGCCACUUCUUCCAUCUCUGUGUAUCCUCCUUGUUUCGAGGUUAGGUGGGCAACACGCAUUUACGCCGUGGCCCAGCGCCACGCAGCUUGGCACAGCUUUUUCGGCCAUCGUUGUGUAACGCGUUUCGUCUACGUGUUGGCCCAGCCGGAUGCUCCCAGCGCUUUACAAGCGCGAUGUCGUAUCGUCUGGCUAGUCGCGGCUAGUUCGCUUCGCGAGGUCCGAGACGUCGGACAUUUCUUUCUUUUUUCCUCGUCGUUGGUCCGGUGUACGCGACGCGCAGAGUUCACUUUCGGUUCGAUAACAGUGUCGGGCGAGUCGAAACGAACGACGGACUCUCUCCGCGGCGCGAUUCUUGAAACGAGAGGCGACGUAUCGGUUGCCCAGCAGUGCUCGCUGCAACUCGAGACGGUCGCGGUCGAGAGGAUCUUGUUAAGGACCGUGGUGUACGGGCGUCGAAUCGUGCGGUUUUCGCAGCCCAGUGCUCGAGAUGUAUCUGGGACUAGAAUCGAUUCCUUCGAAACCGUCGUGUUCCCUGGCUCUCGGUCGAUCGUAGAUUGACGGUUAGAAAAGCUGAUCGAGAUUCCUCGGGAACUAUGCCACCUUUCAAUUCUGUAUUGAAUUCCUGCACACGGCCGUCUUCAAGGUCGUAAUUGUGUAACGACGUUCGGAGACGCGGUCUGCUCGGCAGACAUAGCGUGAAUUGCAGUUGUCGCUCGUGGCCGGUAGUGAUGUCCGACAGCGGUCAAACGGCGUCGCGAGAAAUCGCUCGUUUUCCCUGAGUUUCUUUCGUACGCUUCGGUUUUAUCUCACGGCCGUCCACGGUCGAUCUCUCUCCAUUAUGUAACUCGAUCGUCGCUGUAAUUGACUCGAGUUUAUUAAUCGAUCCACGGUCUCUUCGGGGAUACAGACGAACAUUUUCGAGACUCGGAACGAUUGCAUAAUGCGCGUGAAUCGUAAUUCACCACGUCGGUAACGUCGGCCGACUGCGUCCAACGGUUCGGAUAUGGUCCAUUCCGUUCCUCGAUUUGACGUGCAUCGUGCAAAGUGCGGUAUUCCGUCGUUUGUGAUCGUAAAAUAAAAGUAUUUCAAUGAUUUUUAUUUUCGUUCGAAGUAAGGUUGGAACCACCGAAAUCUCGAGUCGCGAUUGUGCAAUAACCUGUGUCUGUAUCGUAGCUGCACUCUACCUGCUGCACUCUUGAGUGCAUCGUCUCGUGUUUCGACGUUUUCGACUGGAAAUUUUAAUGCCCGGUAAUCGUCUGUGCGCCGAACAUAAAUAAUCGUGACCGUUGAACCGUGAGAUACAUUCGAACGGGAAAUAUAAAAACGAGAUAAAUCGUUUAUUAAUGGUAAAUAAAUGAGAAGCGCGAAAAGAUUGAUUGCACGUGGUAACGCGUGACGUAAUCCGACGCAGACCGACUAAACACGUGUACAGGCGUGACUUAUCGAUAGUUAACGAUUCAAGCGAUUUAAGCAAUUUCAAUAAUCGAACUUGACUCGCGCAUGCGACGUCGGGAAAUGUCGUUGAAUCGAUUUUCAUUUUUUUUUCUUUUUUUUUCUUUUUUUUUCUUUUUUCUUUUUGCGAAAACAAGGUUUUUAAUUAGACGCGUUCAGGUGUUAUAUUGGGUGUAACUAACGAGCGCGUCCCGACGCCAGGAAGUCGCAGCGCCCGAGAACAGUCGCCUAUUAUUAGAAACGUCUCUUCUCCUCGUUCCACUCUCUUUAACCCGUCGGGCGCGUCGUGACUUUCGGAUUUCUCUACUCGAAAAUUCAAUAGUAUAAAUAAAAAUGAAUCUAAAUAGUCGAAACAAAGAACUCGGGCGGUUGAAGUGCGCGAGGGUUGCAGCUAAAGAUACCGUUUCGUAAUGUAACCUUAAUAGUGGGAUGAUUAUAAGGGGUUAUGAGGGGGGAGGGGUGCAAACCGUACAGCGAAGGAAGGCAACACGAGAAACAGAGCAAACGAGAGAAAGUGUGCACGAACGAGAGAGCUAAACGGAAGCGAGCCAAUAUGAGAUUACAGGGCAGUUGGGGCUCGUGCCAGAUGCGCGUUUACACGGGCCGUGAAUGCUGUAAAUGCACUAUCUGGUACGACAUCUCUCCUGUCGCCGCCACCAGUAACACCGAGCUGCUGCUUUUCGGCGGUGCGACGUAAAAAAAAAAAAAAAAAGUAGAGUUUUUGAUUACACUUCGAGCCAAUUUUCAACCAUUCGAGCCACAGGUCACCGUUGCUCUCUAAAGUUAUUAAUCCGAUUCGCCAUUAUUCGGGAUUCCUUUCUGUGUCGCGCCGAUUAUUCACGGUGGCUCGAAGAGAUAAACGUCGUAAUGGAACCGUAGCAUAUUAAAGUUCUUUAAAUGAUCUGCGAUUUUCGUUGACACGUUCGCAGCCCCUCGUCCUCGCGAGUUUCGUUGGAACGAAUAACAGCGAAUUCGAUUGCGAUAACUUCAUUCCUGGCGUGUUGAUAAUUCCACGGGCAGCGAACGUGUUAAGGUCGAUUUAUAAUAUCCGCACAGACCCGAAACGGUUCCGUGUCGACACAGACACGAGUGUUUCUAUUAUACAUACGUUCGUCGAUCGGUGGUACCGAUCAGUCAGUUAACAGAAAGCGUUUCGUAAAAGGCACGUAAUAGCGCGAAUAGGAAAAAUGUUUUCACAUUUAAGUAUGCGAGAUUUUGUCUGAACCGGAACAUAUGCAUAUUGUCAGCGCCGACGCCCGAUAAAGUAUUCUUCGCAAGAAUGUCGGAUGGCCGGACCGAUGUCGGUAGGUGUCUGUGCUGAUACGAUACGACAUAUGUAUAAACACCUAUGUACAAAUUGCAUUAUAGAAUACUUUUCUGAUCGGUGCUGAACGGAUACGUUCCGGGAAUGCGCGGAUAGUUUAAAUCGACCUUUAAUCGGUUGCCCUAGACACUGGUACUUGUGCGAAAGAAAAGUUGCGAUUUGCAAUGGAAAACUCCCGUCGUUUUCCGAGGGCUAAUUACCUUAAUCGUCGUAAAAAGAAUGAAGAAUGGGGUGGCUCGUGUAUAAAACGGGAGGCUAGCCCGACGACGAUACCGCGAUGAUCAACGAGGGUGCAGAUCGCGUGUGUUUGUAAGUUCGCGUCUCUAUCCUCGUCUCUGUAUCAUCCCAGCAGAAAAAUCCACACGUCGACGAGCGAGACAUCCGACCUGUCAUUGAAAAACGUUACGGAGACGCAAUGUCACGUUGCGUCACGUACAAGGAACAAUUGGAUACGCGAAGAACACGGAUCGCUUUACGUCCAUAAAGUGUAUCGUGUUCUGUUCCGGUAUCGUGUAAUGCCAUACGAACUAGCGUGUCAUCCGAUCAUCCGUUGCACGGUGGAAUCUGUUUAUUCGAACGACCCGUGAAAUCGCAGAUCGACGAUUCUUAAAUAAUUCAAAUCCACGGGACGGCUUGCAGAGAAAAAGCCUCCCACGGAUGUUAAUUUCGAGUAGCUAGUAGUCUUUUUACUACCCCGGGGCAAAUAUACAUUAAUAAAAGCGUAUCGCAACGGAUCAUUCGAAAAUUGCUUACGAUAGAAUUGUUUACGAUAGAAUUAGCAGCGUCAAUAGCUUGUAGUAAUACCUUGUUGACUUAUAGUAAUGUUAAUACGUUCUCUCGAGCUGUACGAUAACAAGAUUCUUACAGUAAAUAUUAAUUUCGAAAUCCUGCGGUAAAUCCUUAGUAAAAUUGACCGAUGCACCUGGUAGUAGUCCAAGAUUAAAGAUCCUCCAAUCCCACAGCGCAGAUCGUACCAGAUUGCACGUGUCCGAGUGUGUGUGUGUGUGUGCGUGUACCAGCUAGUUAAAAUUGGAUCGUAGUACGAGAUUGCGAAAUUCUAAUCUAAAACUAGAGUGUAGAGCACCCGCUGUAGAAAUCGCGAAACACGUGCAAAAGUUAUCCCAAGCAUAACCGUUUGCGAUUUUAUUUAUAAUAGGACAAACCUGCACGAUUCGUUAGAAUACGACCUUACUUAACAUUCCAAGCUUUGCAGGCCAUCGACCUCGAAAUACAUAAUAAUUUGGAACACGAGAAUAAUCUCGAAAUCGUCCCUGCGAAUGCAAGAAUGUAAUCUUCGUAAAUACUCGAAUUACACGCACAAAUGUAUCUUGCUACGUUUUCACGAAGCUACACGUUUGAAUAAAAUUGACAUCGUUGUAAAUCGAAUACGAGAACGACCCGUGUAUCGAGAGAAGGCUACAGAAAAAAAUAUACAUUCUUAUAUAAACAAGAAUUCCGUCCGUCUCUGAUGUCGUACGAUACUCAAGAUGGCCGAGGACGAAGCAAAACAAAAUAGAAGAAAGGUACACAGCAAUGUCGGUAGUAGGUAAAUAGUAAUGUACACGCUCGCACAAUAUCUACGACGCAAGCACGAGAAAUGGAAAACCUGCGUUUUGUCGCGUUAAAUUUAAGGUGUCGCUCUAAAAAAAAAGCGUUAACGAGCAGUAGUACAACUAAAAGUAGUACAACUAAAAGUUCCCCGUUAGAAAUUUCUGGCUGUGCACCACUGUCAUCGAGUCACGCGAAAAUCGACGCAGGAUUCUUUCUGGACGCUCCCAGCGUGUUGUUUUUUUUUUCUGCUGUUCGUAACGUAAACACAUGCGUUGUUGGAAUGCUGGAUUUCUCGAGAUAGCCUCGCGUUGAAAAAAGAAUCGGUCGAGUUCGCUUACGGUCGUGGUGUACACGCUAGAGCCUUCGUUCUCCGUUGAAAAACCUGUAUCGCUGAAAUAAUAUCGUAGUUUUCAGUGGUAUUCAAAGUGCUCUAUAAGAAUGUUUCGUAAUCGAUAGAAAUCUAAGCGACGAACAGUUUCUCGUGUUAAUCGCGUCCACAGAUGGCACCACGUACGCCGAUGCGCCCUUAUCGCAAUUAUUCGCGUUUUCGCGGGAACGAAAACAACGGGCGUGCAUUUUUCUCGCAUAUAACCUCACAUCCAGCCGUCGUCUUUACGCCUUGGUAACAGAGACGAAGCGAGGGAAGUUACUUGGAUUCCGAUGCUGAUCGUGGACAAUCUUUCAAGUCCCUUAAAUAACGCAUCGAUUCGAUCAUUUUCCAGCCUCGUCGACAUCGUCUUUCACCACGGCAUCGUUGUAAUUGUAAUGACAAUAAAUAUCAUUCUUGUA